UACGUAGGGUGCGAGCGUUGUCCGGAUUUAUUGGGCGUAAAGAGCUUGUAGGCGGCUCGUCACGUCGGGUGUGAAAACUCGCGGCUCAACCGCGAGCCUGCACCCGAUACGGGCGGGCUAGAGUUCGGCAGGGGAGACUGGAAUUCCUGGUGUAGCGGUGAAAUGCGCAGAUAUCAGGAGGAACACCGGUGGCGAAGGCGGGUCUCUGGGCCGAUACUGACGCUGAGGAGCGAAAGCGUGGGGAGCGAACAGG
rnacentral:rRNA from 1 species